rnacentral:rRNA from 1 species
UACGUAGGGGGCAAGCGUUGUCCGGAAUCAUUGGGCGUAAAGAGCGUGUAGGCGGUCCGGUAAGUCGGCUGUGAAAGUCCAGGGCUCAACCCUGGGAUGCCGGUCGAUACUGCCGGACUAGAGUUCGGAAGAGGCGAGUGGAAUUCCCGGUGUAGCGGUGAAAUGCGCAGAUAUCAGGAGGAACACCGGUGGCGAAGGCGGUUCUCUGGGCAUGUCCUGACGCUGGAGGAGCGAAAGUGUGGGGAGCGAACAGG